GUUUCUGUGGAGCAAUUGGUCAGUGCGUUCGGCUUUUAACCGAAAGGUUGGUGGUUCAAUCCCACCCAGAGACG